GCAAACUUGGUCAUUUAGAGGAAGUAAAAGUCGUAACAAGGUUUCCGUAGGUAAGUUAUAUCAAAGUAUCCUCGGCUGUUUAAGUGGCCAUUGCUAACUGGAAUUUAGGUGAACCUGCGGAAGGAUCAUUACCGAGUUAGGGUCUUUUUGGCCCAACCUCCAACCCUUUGUCUACCCUACCACUGUUGCUUUGGCGAGCCUGUUUCUAGUAAAAUAGGGGCUGCCGGAGGUAUAAUACCCUCUGGAUCGUGCUCGUCAGAAGCCUUUUAUUAAACUCUUUGCUUAAAUAUGGAGUCUAAGUGAUACCUAAAAGCUAAAACUUUCAACAACGGAUCUCUUGGUUCUGGCAUCGAUGAAGAACGCAGC
rnacentral:misc_RNA from 1 species